GUAGGUGGCAAGCGUUGUCCGGAUUUACUGGGCGUAAAGAGCGCGCAGGCGGCCGAGUAAGUCGAAUGUGAAAGCCCCCGGCUCAACUGGGGAGGGUCAUUCGAUACUGUUCGGCUUGAAGAUAGGAGAGGGAAGCGGAAUUCCCGGUGUAGUGGUGAAAUGCGUAGAUAUCGGGAGGAACACCAGUGGCGAAGGCGGCUUUCUGGCCUAUUCUUGACGCUGAGGCGCGAAAGCUAGGGGAGCGAACGGGGAUUAGAUACCCCGGUAGUCCUAGCUGUAAACGAUGGACACUAGAUGUUGGUGGUAUCAACCCCCCGCCAGUGUCGUAGCUAACGCAUUAAGUGUCCCGCCUGGGGAGUACGGCCGCAAGGCUA
rnacentral:rRNA from 1 species